rnacentral:rRNA from 1 species
UCGGGAAUAUUGGACAAUGGGCGCAAGCCUGAUCCAGCCAUGCCGCGUGUGUGAAGAAGGCCUUCGGGUUGUAAAGCACUUUCAGGGGUGAAGAAAAGCCGGGUGUGAAUAAUGCCUGGUCUUGACGUUAGCUCCAGAAGAAGCACCGGCUAACUCCGUGCCAGCAGCCGCGGUAAUACGGAGGGUGCGAACGUUAAUCGGAAUUACUGGGCGUAAAGCGCGCGUAGGCGGCUUGUUAAGUCAGAUGUGAAAGCCCCGGGCUCAACCUGGGAAUUGCAUUUGAAACUGGCAGGCUGGAGUGCAGUAGAGGAAGGUGGAAUUCAGGGUGUAGCGGUGAAAUGCGUAGAUAUCCUGAGGAACACCGGUGGCGAAGGCGGCCUUCUGGACUGACACUGACGCUGAGGUGCGAAAGCGUGGGGAGCAAACAGGAUUAGAUACCCCCGUAGUCC